rnacentral:tRNA from 1 species
GUUGUCGUGGCCGAGUGGUUAAGGCGAUGGACCACAAUUUUUUUGGGAUCUUCCCGCGUAGGUUCGAAUCCUGCCGACAACG